rnacentral:rRNA from 1 species
GACGAACGCUGGCGGCGUGCUUAACACAUGCAAGUCGAGCGGUAAGGCCCUUCGGGGUACACGAGCGGCGAACGGGUGAGUAACACGUGGGUGACCUGCCCUCCACUUCGGGAUAAGCCUGGGAAACUGGGUCUAAUACCGGAUAGGACUUCUCGGUACAUGCCGGGUUGUGGAAAGUUUUUCGGUGGGGGAUGGGCCCGCGGUCUAUCAGCUUGUUGGUGGGGUGAUGGCCUACCAAGGCGACGACGGAUAGCCGGCCUGAGAGGGUGAUCGGCCACACUGGGACUGAGACACGGCCCAGACUCCUACGGGAGGCAGCAGUGGGGAAUCUUGCGCAAUGGGCGGAAGCCUGACGCAGCAACGCCGCGUGAGGGAUGACGGCCUUCGGGUUGUAAACCUCUUUUAGCAGGGAAGAAGCGAAAGUGACGGUACCUGCAGAAAAAGCACCGGCUAACUACGUGCCAGCCGCCGCAGUAAAAC